rnacentral:rRNA from 1 species
UAGGGAAUCUUCCACAAUGGGCGAAAGCCUGAUGGAGCAACGCCGCGUGUGUGAUGAAGGGUUUCGGCUCGUAAACACUGUUGUAAGAGAAGAAUGACAUUGAGAGUAACUGUUCAAUGUGUGACGGUAUCUUACCAGAAAGGAACGGCUAAAUACGUGCCAG